UCUGAUUGUGUAAAACUUGCCCUAGCCUAUCAUAUUCUCCAAAUCCGAUUUCACUCGAUCGUAUCUAAGUAAGAGAAUCUGAUCUCCCUCUCUCGAUUUCACUCUAUAAAUCACCAUGGUCGUCUGAAGAAGAGAUCUCCAACGGCAGUCUGAUUCUGGAAACAAGCUUUGGUUUGAAUCAAUCCUUUCUCAUCUACUACAGAUAAUUUGGUGAGCCAAGAGUCAAUUUUGCAGAUAGAAGAGGAAAUUGCAAGCGCUGCAGCAGUUUGUAGCACAGGGAGCUUAUUUCCAGAAUCAGACUCCAUAUCUGUAGCAGCAUCUGUAAUUCAGGUCUGAGAAUGGUCAAAUAUCAACGAUGAAUGGAUCUGGAAGGAGAUCUUCUGAUAAUUUUGAAGAUGUGGAAGUAUCCUCCUCCUCGAACAGCUUCAGCUCUAUAUUAGAUUAGGCAUUGAACUUGGAUUUUGAUGAUCAAUCCCAUGUAGAUGAUUUGACAACUGCCAAAACAGAAUUGAUUGACUUGUAAAAUUGUGAGGCUGACAGCAUAGAUAGUAGUUCGACAAGAGGGUAUGAAUUUCAGGGAAGCACUGAGUAGGAAAAUUUUGUGGACGAUUUAGUUUGUGAAACAAAACUAAAUGAGGGUCAUCAAGCAUGUAUAGAUCGAAAUGAGGAUCUUCUUAAUUCAGAAUAUACAAAUGAGGAUGAAAGUAAGCGCGAAUUUGUGGAAAAUGUGACAAAACAUUCAGGUGGGAGGAAAUAUGUACGUGCAAGGGUCCCACAUCGCAAGCCUUAGAGAAAGCCACUGCUGAGGACAGUUGUUGAAGGCAGUACUCUUUUUGGUAUAUUAUGUCUCUUGCUUCAUCUCAGGGAAGCCUAGUCAUCAGUGGCCGGCAGACCACUUUCAGUGGAUGGCAGGCUUUCUAUCGGCCACCAGUGCAAAGUCAAGCAGUGUCCUUUUGAAACAGAACAAAGUUGAUCUGGAGGUGGAAAUCAGUGCAAAUGUUCUACUGUACAACAGAGGCAUUCCGCAGUAGAAACAAUGGCUUUUUCGGGUGGAAACCGUGCAUGCAUGAGCAUUCCUCGUUUCCUGAGGCGGAAUAAUUAGAAUAGCUAGCUUAGUGCUUUUUUCAUGUUGCAUUCAUUAGUUCGUUUUAAUUUGUAAUUGUAAUUAUUUAAUUAAUUAGCUAGAAUAGUUAAUUAAUUUGGUUUGUAAUAAUUAGUUAAGUAAU